rnacentral:tRNA from 1 species
CACCGGGUGACUGAAAGUAAGUGUAAGUCUUUUAAACUUAUCAUGGUAACUAACGACUACCCCCUGUGA